CCUGGCGGCAGUAGCGCGGUGGUCCCACCUGACCCCAUGCCGAACUCAGAAGUGAAACGCCGUAGCGCCGAUGGUAGUGUGGGGUCUCCCCAUGCGAGAGUAGGGAACUG
rnacentral:rRNA from 2 species